GUUUUGUGUGAAGGAUUUCUAUGCACAUUGCUCCCUUGUUGCCCACUUUGGAUAAGGGUUAGGUUAGUUAAAGUUUGAAUUUGAUUUAAACUUGAAUUUUGAAUUCAAGUUCGAAUUGGCUAUGAAUUCAAAUUUAACUACCCUAACCCUAUCUUAUCCCAACCUCUUUUGGAUACCAAAAAUAAAUAUGCUAUUUUUUGGCA
rnacentral:lncRNA from 1 species